GCCCGGUUAGCUCAAUCGGUAGAGCGUGAGACUCUUAAUCUCAAGGUUGCGGGUAAGUUCCCACAGUCAAGCA